CAAGUCGAGUGCGCGGUUGUAGCAAUACAACUGGCGCACGGCGCACGGGUGCGUAACACGUGGGCAAUCUGCCCUCCGAUGGGGAAUAACUCCGGGAAACCGAAGCUAAUUCCGCAUAACAUUCCCUGGACUCCGGUUCGGGGAUUCAAAGCAGCAAUGCGUCGGAGGAGGAGCCCGCGCCCGAUUAGCUAGUUGGUGAGGUAACGGCUCACCAAGGCUAUGAUCGGUAGCUGGUCUGAGAGGAUGGCCAGCCACACUGGAACUGAGACACGGUCCAGACUCCUACGGGAGGCAGCAGUGGGGAAUCUUGCGCAAUGGGCGAAAGCCUGACGCAGCGACGCCGCGUGGGGGAUGAAGCUUCUCGGAGUGUAAACCCCUUUCGACCGGGACGAAUGCCCGCAAGGGAGUGACGGUACCGGUAGAAGAAGCCCCGGCUAACUACGUGCCAGCAGCCGCGGUAAGACGUAGGGGGCCAGCGUUGUUCGGAAUUACUGGGUGUAAAGGGUUCGUAGGCGGUGUGGCAAGUCGGGAGUGAAAUUUCUGGGCUUAACCCAGAACCUGCUUCCGAAACUGCUGUGCUGGAGUGUGGGAGAGGCGCGUGGAAUUGCAGGUGUAGCGGUGAAAUGCGUA
rnacentral:rRNA from 1 species